AGUGAACGCUGGCGGUAGGCCUAACACAUGCAAGUCGAACGGCAGCACAGGAGAGCUUGCUCUCUGGGUGGCGAGUGGCGGACGGGUGAGGAAUACAUCGGAAUCUACUCUGUCGUGGGGGAUAACGUAGGGAAACUUACGCUAAUACCGCAUACGACCUACGGGUGAAAGCAGGGGACCUUCGGGCCUUGCGCGAUUGAAUGAGCCGAUGUCGGAUUAGCUAGUUGGCGGGGUAAAGGCCCACCAAGGCGACGAUCCGUAGCUGGUCUGAGAGGAUGAGCAGCCACACUGGAACUGCGACACGGUCCAGACUCCUACGGGAGGCAGCAGUGGGGAAUAUUGGACAAUGGGCGCAAGCCUGAUCCAGCCAUGCCGCGUGGGUGAAGAAGGCCUUCGGGUUGUAAAGCCCUUUUGUUGGGAAAGAAAUCCAGCUGGCUAAUACCCGGUUGGGAUGACGGUACCCAAAGAAUAAGCACCGGCUAACUUCGUGCCAGCAGCCGCCGUAA
rnacentral:rRNA from 1 species